rnacentral:lncRNA from 1 species
CUCCAGGUAAAGAGACAUCCCAGACAGUCCUCACUAGAAGCAUUAUCUGAAAGGUCCUUCGUAGCCUGGAGUUAGUAAACUGAAUUGUUCUUCACGUCAUUCUCCAGGGAAGGAUGUCGAUCUCACAAGUGUCACUCUCAAUGCAGCAGGAGUGAAGAAGCCAAGAACUCAGUAAACACUGAGCUUGUUUUGCCAGUUAGAGUAAGUUUGUUUUCAUAAGGAUGAAAAAGUGCCUCCAGAGACAACACGUUGCUGAGAAGAAUUAGACGGCCAAAGGUAAUAGAUCUUUUAAUUUAAGAUAGGGCCACUUGCCAUUUCUGUUCCUUUAAAAAGCAGUCAAUUCUAAUUAUAAAGAUUUAUCUUGGAUUAAGGAAGAGAAAUACUGAAGUAAACACUACUGCUUCUAGUAUAACUCUAGGGUUAAAGCUUUUCUAAAUGGGAAUUAUGUGCAGUGAGGACAAUAAAGUGACUGCCAUAAAAUCCUGA